rnacentral:rRNA from 1 species
AUGAGAGGGGGUGGCGUCAGAACUUCAAUCGGAGUGGCUUCCCUGGCCGCGAUGAAGAGGAAGUUUGCAAGCUCUGGGGCAUACUCAUCUGUGAUUGCUUUGGACUUUUUUGAGAAUAUCCUCCACCAAUGCUAUGACUACAUCAAACAAGAAGAAACCCCUAUGAACACGAACCUCGCUCUCGUAAGGGCCGGUAUUUCGAGGCUCCCUUUUCCUUCAUGUUCAAUUGAUGCCAUUCAUGCUGGAGCUGCUAUCCACUGCUGGCCAUCCCCUUCAAUUGCGAAAUGCAGGCCAGCUCCAUUUUUAUCGAAAUGA